UCCUACUUGAAGAAGAUAAGCAAAGAGCUAAGAAUAUGGCAAAAGGAAAAGCAGAAAACAACAGACGAGAAACUUUGGAUCCGCCCAUGCCUCGGAGUCUGAGGUCCAGAAAGAGGGGGCAUCAAGUUGAAAAAAUUACUGAUGAUCAUCAGAACACUGGAGAAGUGAAUACAGAAGAUACAUUACUGCAAUGUCAAGAGCCUCCUGUAGAUGAAGGUGACCAGCAUCAAUGUCAUCAACCAGUGGAAUCACCUUCACCUAUCUCUGAUCAACAAAGCAAUGAAAACAAUGGAGAGCCUGAAACCACAGUAAUGACUCCAUGUGAUCCCAAAAGGCAGUUAGUGGUAACUUUAACUGACUGUGGACAGGAGAACAAACAGAAUGAAAUGGAGAAUCUGGAUAAAAUGUCGAAUGAAUGUGAACCAUCAGCCUCUUCAAACAAACAUACUGUCAAAGCGGGAAUAAAGCCUGACGUAUCCGAGGAACAAAUGUGUGCAGAAGACAAUCCUGGCCAGGAGACGGAGACCAAUCAAAAGUGGAUGAAGUCCACCAAAUGUCAAAGGAGCCUGUGGUAGACGGACCGGCAAAGAAGAGGCGAAGGAUGGGCAUGUGCCAGUUGUCUGAAAAAGAGCGCAGUCAGUUCUUAGUUAAAAGUACAAACAGAGUAGAGAUUGACGUAAAACAUGAAAAAUGCACAGGUAUGGCCAAAGAGGAAAAUGACCCUCCAUCUAAAGGGAUGUCAUCUCAUCAAGAACCAACAGAAAUGAUGCAACAGGGAGAUACAAAACCUGAGGCCAAUCAGGACAACAAGGAUGACAGGUGCAGGACAGAACCUGGAUGCCAGAUGACCAUCCCAGAUGCAGCAGUGACUGUGUGUGAGUCAGGUCCAAGUCUCUGUAAAGAUUCUGACCAGACCUCAGGAAUCCACCCUUCUGCAGACGAAGAACUGACCAGGACAGAGACUGAAGAGCAUCUUACUGUUUCAGUAUGUGAUGCGCCUUCUCCAAACUUGGAUAAUCGUGACCCAUCCCUAAAGCCCCAUUCAGAUGCAGAACAGCUGUUGACCAGAUCGGAAACCGAGGUCUGUGACACAGCUACUCUCCCACAUGUUGCAGAUACUGUUGGUGAAUCUCAAAAAGAGUCAAACACUGACCAGCCGGGACCCGCUCAAAAUGUUGCGCUUUCAAACGGAGACGAAAACAAGCAUUGGAUUGAACACAUGCCUGAUAACGAAGUGGAAGCAACAGAGACUGAAAUGCACAAGCAACAAGUAGAAACAAUGUCUGCAGAUGGACAUGGCAACUUUACCAGUGGUACUGAUCAUACAAAGGACACGGCAAUGGAGAUGGCCCUCCCGCUGCAGGAGACUGAGAGUAAAACAACUGAGGAGAGAAAAGAUCAAGCAGCAGGAGACAAUCCAGAUUUUAGUCACUCUUCAUUCAGUGACACUGCGGCAGAAACCAACUGUAGCUCCGUGGGAAACGGUCAUGUGAUGAACGGCACUCGUGAACAAAAUGGAAAGCCUGAGUCAUCCACUGCGACCAUGGGGCCGCCUCAGUCUGCGGACUUCAUUGAUUUACCUGGACUAUGCAGCUUGGAUUACGUGUCCGACUCGCAACUGAACACCAUCGUCAUGACAGAGCAAGUGGUGGCUGCUGAGAGCGGUGUUUGUUCAGAGCUUGAUGAAGAUGGCACGGACCUCAUUCGUGGGCUUUAUCAGAGAACUGUCCGCUUUGAACCGGACAGUGAUGGCCACUCAUCGAGAACUGGAAAACCUUCGACGCAGGGGUAA
rnacentral:lncRNA from 1 species